UACGGCCGCCACCACCCUCUCUCACCUCCGCCCCGCGGCCACCCUGCGCUCCAUUGAUUCGGGCUGGCCCCGCCGGUUUCCAGACAGUGUGUCCUGGAGACGCUCUUAGCUUAGUUGUCCUCUUGCGUUUGCUAUGACUUUUGUGCUCUUUCGAUCGCGAGGGAGCCUGCCUUGAGUCGAGUGAUCAGGACUGGGGCCGAGCAGAUGCAAGUUGUGCCUCGAGGACUGACACGCGCUGCCACACGCUCUGCCAGCAGCAGGGUCCCGGCGGUCGCGCCGAGAGGUGGCCCUGCCGCGCUCAGGUUCCCCUUGAAGGACUCAAAGCGUCUGAUCCAGUGGUUAAAAGCUGUUCAGAGGGACAACUGGACCCCCACCAAGUACUCUUUUCUCUGCAGUGAACAUUUCACCAAAGACAGCUUCUCCAAGAGGCUGGAGGACCAGCAUCGCCUGCUCAAGCCCACGGCCGUCCCCUCCAUCUUCCACCUGCCUGAGAAGAAGAGGAGCACCGGAGGCCAUGGCCGCACGAGGAGGAAGGACACCAGAAAGGCCUCGGGGGGCCUGAGGGGACACGCGAGCGGGGCGGACGGAAAAGGAGCUGGAGCUGCAGGUGCGUCGUCGUCCUCAGGUGCAAACCCAAUGGCCAAGCCCGGGGCCCGGAAGGUGAAGCAGGCCGCGCCGCAGGGUGAGACCGCCCCCGGGGCCGCCCAGGAAGCCGCCGGUCGGGAGCGGGCGCCGCAGGCCCCAGCAGGAACUCCGGCCGAUGGCUCGGCCGCCGCCGCCAGCAGUCAGGGCGAAGCAGAGGCGUCUGCAGUAGACGCCGGCGGUGAGAGCGCCGCCGCGCCUGACGGAGGCCUGGUGGACAAGAGCGGCAUUUCCGUGGAUGACUUUACCCCGCCAGGGUCUGGGGCCUGCAAGUUCAUUGGCUCACUUCAUUCUUACAGUUUCUCCUCCAAGCACGCGCGAGAGAGGGCGUCUGUGCCCCGAGAGCCCGUUGACCGAAAGAGGCCGAAGAGAGACGUGGAGCCCGGCUGCAGCGGGACCAGCCUGGGGCCCGACAAGGGCUUGGCCCAGAGCCCCCCGAGUUCAUCGCUCACGGCGACGCCUCAGAAGCCCUCCCAGAGCCCCUCCGCCCCUCCGACGGACGUCACCCCGAAGCCGGCGGCGGAAGCCGUGCAGAGCGAGCACAGUGACGCCAGCCCCAUGUCCAUCAACGAGGUCAUCCUGUCGGCGUCGGGGGCCUGCAGGCUCAUCGAUUCGCUGCACUCCUACUGUUUCUCGUCCCGCCAGAACAAGAGCCAGGUGUGCUGCCUGCGGGAGCAGGUGGAGAAGAAGAACGGCGAGCUGAAGACCCUGCGGCAGCGCGUCAGCCGCUCCGACAGCCAGGUGCGCAAGCUGCAGGAGAAGCUGGACGAGCUGCGGAGAGCGAGCUUCCCCUACCUGAGCAGCCUGCUGCCCCUGAGCCGCGAGCCCCCCACGAUGAACCCAGUGGUGGAGCCGCUGUCCUGGAUGCUGGGCACCUGGCUGUCCGACCCGCCGGGAGCCGGCACCUUCCCGACGCUGCAGCCCUUCCGGUACCUGGAGGAGGUGUACAUCUCCCACGUGGGCCAGCCCGUGCUGAACUUCUCGUUCAACGCCUUCCACCCGGACACGCACAAGCCCAUGCACAGGGAGUGUGGCUUCAUCCGCCUCAAGCCCGACACCAACAAGGUGGCCUUCGUCAGCGCCCAGAACACAGGCAUCGUGGAGGUGGAGGAGGGCGAGGUGAACGGGCAGGAGCUAUGCAUCACGUCCCACUCCGUCGCCAGGAUCUCCUUCGCCAAGGAGCCCCACGUGGAGCAGGAACUAACACACAGUGAAAGCCAUCUUCCUCCUGAAUUUCCUUUUCCACCUUUUCUCUACUGAACAAAACAAGGAAAAGCAUGCUUUUAGAAAGCAUUAAGACAUCAAAAAAUUCUCACAGCGCGCCUCCCGCCGCAGCGCACUUCCCUGCGGUGGGCGCAGUCUAGGGAAAACGGGCACCCUUGGCUAAGAGAACAACUGGCGUUUGUCAAGAGGGACUCUUCUGCACCUCCAGAGGCUCGUGGGCCCUCGGCCCGGCUGUGUGCGCGGGAGCCGGGCUCCCCGCGGUCUGAGCGUGCUGUCUGCGAUCACCGGGCCGCCUGGACCGGCUCCCCUUUGAAGCUGUCGAAGCUAGCGGCUCCUUCCAGCCUCCCGUUCCUCAAAUGAGGAUCUGUCUGUGGCCCAGAUGGGUCUUCGAUGAUGCCUUCGCUGUCGUGGCCGACUUGGGAUGAACACGAAAUUACUCUGAGCGAGCUUACCAGAUUGCUGUCUACGGGCAGAGGCCGUGGGAACCACCGAGCAAGGCCGCGUGCAGCCUGCCUCGACUUUACAUCUUUCCAGCGACUGGCAGUAGGGGGGGACGAGAAACGUCCUCCGAGGGCCUCCAGUUCCAAAGGAACCCGAUGGGCGACUCUCGGGGCCUGUGCGCUGGUGCUACCGUUGCUGGCUUUGGCUCCGAGUGCUCCGCUGUGACCGCUGUCAUCUCCGCGACAGGCUGACAGCACUCCGGAGGCCACACGGCACGUGCCGGAGGUGCCCGACCUGACCAGAGCCCAGUGAGUGUGCUCUGGGGGCGGUGGGCGCAGGGUGGCCCCUCGCUCCCCAGCCCCGCAUCCUUCCUGGACUAGCGGUCGGGCUGUGCUCCCCAGGCCUGCCUCCUGUCUCCUGCUCACCUGCUGCCCGUCGCCACGCUGCUUACGCCGGAAUAGGAUGGCCAUCGCAGGUUUGGCACGAAGAGGCAGAGGUGAGGGGAGGCCACACUUGGAUCACUGCACCGUGAGGCGGGCUGUGGGGGGCCGUGUGGUAUUUCCAGAAGCCCCUCCAGCCAUGCAGAGACAGCCGUUCAGAAAAGGCCAGUUGUCCUCAGGUGUUAGAUGUUUUGAGGAGCCUCUCACGGGCUCAGAGUAAAUAAGCAGCAGCCUCGCUCUUUUCUGUGGCUCACAAGGCAGUGCCUCACCUGCACGUCCCUGUACAGCGUGGUCCCGGGCACUCAGCUGAGGGCACCGCAAGACCACAUGUCUCCACCUGUGUCCCCUGAGAAGUGGUCUCAAAGGUUAAAGCCAGCCUUAUUUUUUUUUUUUUUUAAUUUUUUUUGAGAGACAGAGACACAGAGCAUGAGCGGGGGAGGGGCAGAGAGAGACGGAGACACAGAAUCCGAAGCAGCUCCAGGCUCCGAGCUGUCGGCACAGAGCCCGACGCGGGGCUCGAACACACUGACCACGAGAUCAUGACCUGAGCUGAAGUCGGACGCUUAACCGACUGAGCCACCCAGGUGCCCCAAGCCUUGUUUAUUUUUAAAUGAAAUUCCAGAAGAAAUCACGUAGAAUUACAGGCGCUGAUACGGUGAGACGAAGCUUCCGUGCCACAUGAGGCCCCCCGGUUGUGUGUCUGUCUGUGUGUCCUGUUUUGGGUGCUCCGCUCCCCCGUGCCUGCCUCUUGUGCUCUCCCGUCCUCCCGAGUGUUGCUGUCUGCCCUGUGGUGACCGCCACCAGGGGGACUUUGCAGAUGGGCGAGGUUCCCAAGCUCCAGCACUGGAGCCUGGGUGCAGCCUGGGACUGCGUGGCCAGCACCCCCGGGCGGCAGCUGCUGGCGCUGGGGACACGCUCCGAGUUGCGGGAUACGGGACGCGGACUCCGUGCGUCUCCCCUGCCCUGUCGUCUUUUUACUUUGCUUUUUAUCUUCCACCACUCUUUUUCUGAAUGACGGCAAAAGGAAUCUUUUUUCUUCUCACAAGGAAAUACAAGUGUUUCCUGUCACUUUAGCAGGAGUCAGAGAUUUCCUCACAGGUGACCUCGGAAAUCUUUCCUCGUACUCGAAGACAGAGAUGAACAUCCUUUGCGGGGAGCAGGUGUGUGUCCUGCCUUAGAACAUACCAGUACCUUUGGCUAAAAGGGAGCCCGGGAGCUUCGUUCACUGGACGCCUUUCGCGGCUGGCGCCCUUCAGUCACAAGUUAGAGUCUGGGAGACCAGAAGGAAACCGUGUCUGACACAGCGGCGUGUGACUUUGAAUAUAGGGAAGAUCACCCGAAAAUUCCGGCUGAAUUCUGACGGCAAACUCGAACAGACGGUCUCCAUGGCAACCACUACCCAGCCCAUGACUCAGCAUCUUCACGUCACCUACAAGAAGGUGACCCCGUGACCCCGAGCGUGUGUUGUG